CGCUACACUUAUUCCAGUGAAAUAGAAAAUAAGAGACCUCUGACCCGUCAGUGCCGUGGAACACUCGCACACUCUCAUCAGCUCCUGAAUUCGUCAGCUCAGUUGUGUUGAAGAUGGGACAUCUCAAUUUUGUGGCCAUGAUGGCAGUGCUUUUCACCCUUUUCGUGGAAACUGAAGCAAAUCCAUUCGUUUACAACUACGAAAGGCUAAGAAUUGCAGGCCUGGUCUGUGCCUUCUUGUUGGUGAUUGGAGGAUUCAGUGUUUUAGUCUAUCACAAAUGUACCACCAGAAGGGCCAGAAAAGUGGAAGAUGACAACAGUGAAAUCUGAUAUCUCGCUUGACAAACCGGUUCCACCCAGGAAGAGGUGUGAGAGGUGCAGAUGAGGAG